AACUUAAGGGUCGGGGGGGAAGUGGCGUGUGCGGAGAGGAGGCGUGGAGAGUGUGAGGAAGAAGAGAGGCACUCUGAGAGGAAGUCGAACAACUAACCCCUCAUUUGGCCUGGUUUGGGUGAGAAGAUUGAGUCACUUGGGGAAAAAAAUAUUGGAGAGAAGGUAUAAUACUAUCAGUGGUGCCACAAACACCAGUUUACUUCCACUUUUCACCCCCCGGGUCUGUUUUGUCUGCGUGCAGCUGUCCUCGUGUUGGAGACGCUGAGUCAGUUCUCUACUGGUCUUGCCGUCUUCCGGAAAAAGAAAACAUACCUGAGAAGUGGUAGUUCCUAUCCUAACCUCUUGGGGCCCUUUAGACCAGGUGCCAAACUUCAUUAUCCACCCCACCACCUUGCCCAGGAGGGAGAUCUGUGAAAGCGAAACGUGAUUUAACCUGGGAUCUGGCAGCAACUUCGUGGACUCUGAAGGGCACGCGGGAAAGGUGUUUUGAUUGAAGGUGAGGGAUUUAGUGAGGUAAAAUUAUAUCCAAAUUAGAGUUUGGUAAAGGCUUCCAGGUUAAUGUCCUGUUAACGCUUAUCCUGAUUUGUGGAGGACACUUAAGCUGUCUAGGCCUAACCUUGCGUUUGAUCACUCACCUUAAUUUGUAGACAUUCUAGGAGCUCUUUGUCAAUGCUUCUUACCAUUUUUAUCAUUAACUAUUUAUGCUUAUGGAAGCAGGAAAAAUAAAUUGUGGGAGACUUCAUCUGCAA
rnacentral:lncRNA from 1 species